UUAAUAUACUAUUGUUGUAUGGUUUUUACUUUAACUGUCAGUUGUGUUGCAUGUGCUUUUAUCUGUCACAUUUUUAGAUAUGCAGCCUCAGUGGAUGACAUCUGGGAAGAAGAGGAACGUUAUAAAGACCAACUGAGAGAGCAUCUUCUCUGUGCUGAAGCUCUAUGAUACUUUUUCUCAUUACCAGCUGUGUUGUGUUUAAUGUUGUUGAAUAUUGAAAGCGUACAAAAUAUUUUAAUUUCAGUGGCCUCCCUAGCUUCAUUAAGCUUCAAUGUGAUUUAUAAUUCCCGAGAAUAUCAUUGUCUCUGAUGUCCAGAAGUUCAGAAUACCUGAAGCUGACAUUACAGCCCUUUUAAGGAGCUCAUUUGUCUUCUUUGUGGGUUCCCAGAGAGAAGAUAUGAGGUGUUGGUGGAGGAGCAGCAGACUGGGUGGAGACGAGGACAUCAAGAGAACAAUGGAGGAGCAGCUGGAGAACCACAGGGGAGCUAAUCAGAAGCAGCUCAGACGCCUCCGAGACGAGAUCUAAGACAAACAGAGGAUGCUGGAGGAACUCAGAGUUAGGAAACACCAGAACUCUCUCUUUGAGGCCAUCUUCUGGGGGAGUGUUUUCAGGGAGCACACCUGAAACUUCAGCCACAGGUCUCCAGCUGAUUUCAAUUAGAUUUCAAAACAACCAAGUGCCAGAGAAGAGAGAGGGGAG